rnacentral:rRNA from 1 species
CCUACGGGUGGCAGCAGUGGGGAAUAUUGCACAAUGGGGGAAACCCUGAUGCAGCGACGCCGCGUGAGCGAUGAAGUAUUUCGGUAUGUAAAGCUCUAUCAGCAGGGAAGAAAAUGACGGUACCUGACUAAGAAGCCCCGGCUAACUACGUGCCAGCAGCCGCGGUAAUACGUAGGGGGCAAGCGUUAUCCGGAUUUACUGGGUGUAAAGUGAGCGUAGACGGUUCUGCAAGCCAGAUGUGAAAGCCCGGGGCUCAACCCCGGGACUGCAUUUGGUACUGUAAGGCUAGAGUGUCGGAGAGGCAGGCGGAAUUCCAGGUGUAGCGGUGAAAUGCGUAGAGAUUAGGAGGAACAUCAGUGGCGAAGGCGACUAUCUGGCACAUAACUGACGCUGAGGAGCGAAAGCGUGGGGAGCAAACAGGAUUAGAUACCCGGGUAGUC